GAGUUUGAUCAUGGCUCAGAUUGAACGCUGGCGGCAGGCUUAACACAUGCAAGUCGAACGAUGAUUACUAGCUUGCUAGUAUGAUUAGUGGCGAACGGGUGAGUAAUGCUUAGGAAUCUGCCUAUUAGUGGGGGACAACAUUCCGAAAGGAAUGCUAAUACCGCAUACGUCCUACGGGAGAAAGCAGGGGAUCGCAAGACCUUGCGCUAAUAGAUGAGCCUAAGUCGGAUUAGCUAGUUGGUGGGGUAAAGGCCUACCAAGGCGACGAUCUGUAGCUGGUCUGAGAGGAUGAUCAGCCACACUGGGACUGAGACACGGCCCAGACUCCUACGGGAGGCAGCAGUGGGGAAUAUUGGACAGUGGGCGAAAGCCUGAUCCAGCCAUGCCGCGUGUGUGAAGAAGGCCUUUUGGUUGUAAAGCACUUUAAGUGGGGAGGAAAAGCUAAUAAUUAAUACCUAUAGCCCUGA
rnacentral:rRNA from 1 species